UGGAGGCGCUGGCCGAGGCGUUGCGGCGCACCGGGUCGAGCCGGGUCGCGGCGGUGCUGCUGGGUGCCGCCGGUGCGGUGCGGGCCGCGAUCGG
rnacentral:tRNA from 1 species